rnacentral:lncRNA from 1 species
AUGGACUGCAGGCUCCACGUUAAGAAUUUCCUCCACGCGGAGGCCGCAGGGAAGGAGAGAGAGCGGCGUUGCCCCUUCAUGUUGCUGUGGGCGUCCCAGGGACUCGGUGGAUGGAUCACGUUAUCCUCCUUUCAGCUAAACGUGCAGAUACGUCUUCAGGUCAUGGAGCGUUUCUUAUAUUUGAAGAAUGCAUUUCCAUCCCACUACUGAGUCUUUACACUCGUGCUGAGGCCGCGUGUCCACUGCCCCGCCAGGGCCCAGCAUCUCCCUUUUCAAACUUCUGUAGCUGUAUCAUU